CUUGAUUCCACGCCAGCCACAGGCCUGGGCCGACAGACUCGGAACUUCCUUAGCGGGCUUUGUCUUUCCUAAAAUAAAUACAUUCCAGCCAGGACUUUGCAAUGAACUGAUGUCACUCCCUUUUUGCAAGCUGUGGACAGUCCGUGUGAGGGUAAUAGCUGAAUUCAUUACUAUACACUGUUCAAUGAAUAAACCCAAAAUCAC